rnacentral:rRNA from 1 species
AGUGAACGCUGGCGGUCGGCCUAACACAUGCAAGUCGAACGGCAGCACAGAGGAGCUUGCUCCUGGGGUGGCGAGUGGCGGACGGGCUAGGAAUACAUCGGAAUCUACUCUGUCGUGGGGGAUAACGCAGGCAAACUUACGCUAAUACCGCAUACGACCUACGGGGGAAAGCAGGGGACCUUCGGACCUUGCGCGAUUGAAAGAGCCGGCGUCGGAUUAACUAGUUGGCGGGGUAAAGGCCCACCAAGGCGACGAUCCGUAGCUGGUCUGAGAGGAUGAUCAGCCACACUCGAACUGAGACACGGUCCAGACUCCUACGGGAGGCAGCAGUGGGGAAUAUUUGACAAUGGGCGCAAGCCUGAUCCAGCCAUACCGCGUGGGUGAAGAAGGCCUUCGGGUUGUAAAGCCCUUUUGUUGGGAAAGAAAUCCAUCUGGUUAAUACCCGGGUGGGAUGACGGUACCCAAAGAAUAAGCACCGGCUAACUUCGUGCCAGCCGCCGCAGUAA